AUCAACUUUCGAUGGUAGGAUAGAGGCCUACCAUGGUGGUAACGGGUAACGGGGUGUUAGGGCACGACACCGGAGAAGGAGCCUGAGAAACGGCUACCACAUCCAAGGAUGGCAGCAGGCGCGCAAAUUACCCAAUCCCGACACGGGGAGGUAGUGACAAUAAAUAACAAUACGGGGUUCUUUCGGAUUUCGUAAUUGGAAUGAGUACAAUUUAAAUCUCUUAACGAGGAACAAUUGGAGGGCAAGUCUGGUGCCAGCAGCCGCGGUAAUUCCAGCUCCAAUAGCGUAUAUUAAAGUUGCUGCAGUUAAAAAGCUCGUAGUUGAAUUUCGGGACCAAUAUGCCGGUCGUGCCUCGGUACGUACUGGCAUCGUUGGUUUCUCCCUUCUGACGAACCAUGAUGUCAUUUAUUUGGUGUCGUGGGGAAUCAGGACUGUUACUUUGAAAAAAUUAGAGUGUUUAAAGCAGGCUCACGCUUGAAUACAUUAGCAUGGAAUAAUGAAAUAGGACGUUUGAUUCUAUUUUGUUGGUUUCUAGGAUCGACGUAAUGAUUAAUAGGGAUAGUUGGGGGCAUUAGUAUUCAAUUGUCAGAGGUGAAAUUCUUGGAUUUAUUGAAGACUAACUACUGCGAAAGCAUUUGCCAAGGAUGUUUUCAUUAAUCAAGAACGAAAGUUAGGGGAUCGAAGACGAUCAGAUACCGUCGUAGUCUUAACCAUAAACUAUGCCGACUAGGGAUCGGAUGAUGUUAAUUUUUUAAUGACUCAUUCGGCGCCUUACGGGAAACCAAAGUGUUUGGGUUC
rnacentral:rRNA from 1 species